GUUUUGUUGUAGUCUCUGUUAUUGGUAAUGGUGAGAGGUUAGCAUGUUUUGUUGUAGUCUCUGUUAUUGGUAAUGGUGAGAGGUUAGCAUGUUUUGUUGUAGUCUCUGUUAUUGGUAAUGGUGAGAGGUUAGUAUGUUUUGUUGUAGUCUCUGUUAUUGGUAAUGGUGAGAGGUUAGUAUGUUUUGUUGUAGUCUCUGUUAUUGGUAAUGGUGAGAGGUUAGUAUGUUUUGUUGUAGCCUCUGUUAUUGGUAAUGGUGAGAGGUUAGUAUGUUUUGUUGUAGUCUCUGUUAUUGGUAAUGGUGAGAGGUUAGUAUGUUUUGUUGUAGUCUCUGUUAUUGGUAAUGGUGAGAGGUUAGCAUGUUUUGUUGUAGCCUCUGUUAUUGGUAAUGGUGAGAGGUUAGCAUGUUUUGUUGUAGUCUCUGUUAUUGGUAAUGGUGAGAGGUUAGCAUGUUUUGUUGUAGCCUCUGUUAUUGGUAAUGGUGAGAGGUUAGCAUGUUUUGUUGUAGUCUCUGUUAUUGGUAAUGGUGAGAGGUUAGUAUGUUUUGUUGUAGUCUCUGUUAUUGGUAAUGGUGAGAGGUUAGUAUGUUUUGUUGUAGUCUCUGUUAUUGGUAAUGGUGAGAGGUUAGCAUGUUUUGUUGUAUCCUCUGUUAUUGGUAAUGGUGAGAGGUUAGCAUGUUUUGUUGUAGUCUCUGUUAUUGGUAAUGGUGAGAGGUUAGCAUGUUUUGUUGUAGACUCUGUUAUUUAUUAUCUAGAUCUUUUUUAAUCAUGGCAUCCUCAAAUCAAAUCAAAUCAAAUUUUAUUUG
ensembl:lncRNA